rnacentral:rRNA from 1 species
GACGAACGCUGGCGGCGUGCCUAAUGCAUGCAAGUUGAGCGAUGAAGAUUGGUGCUUGCACCAAUUUGAAGAGCAGCGAACGGGUGAGUAACGCGUGGGGAAUCUGCCUUUGAGCGGGGGACAACAUUUGGAAACGAAUGCUAAUACCGCAUAACAACUUUAAACAUAAGUUUUAAGUUUGAAAGAUGCAAUUGCAUCACUCAAAGAUGAUCCCGCGUUGUAUUAGCUAGUUGGUGAGGUAAAGGCUCACCAAGGCGAUGAUACAUAGCCGACCUGAGAGGGUGAUCGGCCACAUUGGGACUGAGACACGGCCCAAACUCCUACGGGAGGCAGCAGUAGGGAAUCUUCGGCAAUAGACGAAAGUCUGACCGAGCAACGCCGCGUGAGUGAAGAAGGUUUUCGGAUCGUAAAACUCUGUUGGUAGAGAAGAACGUUGGUGAGAGUGGAAAGCUCAUCAAGUGACGGUAACUACCCAGAAAGGGACGGCUAACUACGUG